UUAGCGGCGGACGGGUGAGUAAUGCUUAGGAAUCUGCNUAUUAGUGGGGGACAACAUUUCGAAAGGAAUGCUAAUACCGCAUACGUCCUACGGGAGAAAGCAGGGGAUCUUCGGACCUUGCGCUAAUAGAUGAGCCUAAGUUGGAUUAGCUAGUUGGUGGGGUAAAGGCCUACCAAGGCGACGAUCUGUAGCGGGUCUGAGAGGAUGAUCCGCCACACUGGGACUGAGACACGGCCCAGACUCCUACGGGAGGCAGCAGUGGGGAAUAUUGGACAAUGGGCGCAAGCCUGAUCCAGCCAUGCCGCGUGUGUGAAGAAGGCCUUAUGGUUGUAAAGCACUUUAAGCGAGGAGGAGGCUACUGAAGUUAAUACCUUCAGAUAGUGGACGUUACUCGCAGAAUAAGCACCGGCUAACUCUGUGCCAGCAGCCGCGGUAAUACAGAGGGUGCAAGCGUUAAUCGGAUUUACUGGGCGUAAAGCGCGCGUAGGCGGCUAAUUAAGUCAAAUGUGAAAUCCCCGAGCUUAACUUGGGAAUUGCAUUCGAUACUGGUUAGCUAGAGUGUGGGAGAGGAUGGUAGAAUUCAGGUGUAGCGGUGAAAUGCGUAGAGAUCUGGAGGAAUACCGAUGGCGAAGGCAGCCAUCUGGCCUAACACUGACGCUGAGGUGCGAAAGCAUGGGGAGCAAACAGGAUUAGAUACCCUGGUAGUCCAUGCCGUAAACGAUGUCUACUAGCCGUUGGGGCCUUUGAGGCUUUAGUGGCGCAGCUAACGCGAUAAGUAGACCGCCUGGGGAGUACGGUCGCAAGACUAAAACUCAAAUGAAUUGACGGGGGCCCGCACAAGCGGUGGAGCAUGUGGUCUAAUUCGAUGCAACGCGAAGAACCUUACCUGGCCUUGACAUAGUAAGA
rnacentral:rRNA from 1 species